CUUGAUCUCCCAAUAGUGGCCACGGGCCUGGGAGCCAGGGCCGGCUCACUAGCUCCGUGCACCUAAUGACUCACUGCUCAGACGUUUGAAGUCCCCUUUGCUGCGUGUUCCAACAAACGUAUUCAUUUCCUGCUGCCUUUUGAAUCCCAGCCUGGCCUGAAUGGCUCCACACCGUCCCUUCAGCUCUGAUUUACAGGACCUUUUCUCAAAGCCAGAGGCAUCCACAGGCGGCCAGAGCCCGGGGCAGGCGCAGAGCACGAAGUUCCCCUGAUGAGAAAGGCUGUAAGAGUACAUACUGAGAGGACGACAGAACGGAAAGACCAUGUGAGGACACAGAACGCAGCCCUCCGAAACCCAGGAAGAGAAACUUCAUCCGAACCUGACCAUGCUGCCAGCCUGAUCUCAGACUUCCAGCCUCCAGAGCGGAGGCCAACCCUUCCUGAUACGAUCAGGCUCUUUUCAAACCAACUGAACACGUACAGAACAGCAGCACACUCAGCGAGGUACAGCUGGGGAUCAAAGCCCGGGGUCCUGUCCAGCUGGGAAGGGACGCAGACUCACAACCGGCUACAGAGCUCCCUCAAAGAAGUAUUGUGGAACUGCUGCCCAGGGAAGGCAGGUCAUGGGAGACAGCAGACCUUCCCAGUGAGGGUAACGAUGUGACCAGAGACAGUGAAGCACACAGACAUUCAGACGACCAGGCCACUACGUACACGGUUUAUGUCAGCAAAUUCUAGCCCAUGGUCCAAAUCCAGUCUGCUGUCUGCCGUACAACCCACAAACUAAGGAUGGGUUUUACGUUUUUAUAGGGUUGAAAACAAGAGUCAAAAGAAGGUUCAUCUUAAUUAUUUUCAUUUUAAUUUUGAAAUUCAAUGUCAGUGUCCGUAACAUUUUGUUGGAACAUAGCCAUGCCCAUUCAUUUAUAUAUUGUCUGUGGUUGCUUUGGUGUUACAACAGCAGAAUUGAGUAGUUGUUACAGAAACCAUCUGGCCCACAAAAGCUAAAAUAUUUACGAUCCAGCCCUUCACAGAAGAUGUUGGCCAACCCCUGCUGUGUGUGGAUGGCUCUCCCUCGAAUUGUACAGUGCACAACCUAUACCACCGAACACGGCAGCCUUGGCCCAAGAUUGGAGUCCAGGGUCCUGGUUGGUAGCCACAUUAUGCUCUUUUUGCCUAAGCCCAUACCUAAGCCCAUACCAAGGCAUGCAACUGAAGCAUGCCUUCUUCCUCAUCUGGUAUUUUGGACACACGGCUCAAACUGCCAGGAACUCUCCUGCAAGUCAUUACGGCAAAGGAUUCCCUCUCAUCAUUCAAGUCACAGCUCAGAUGGCCUUUCUUGAAAAGAGCUUUCCCUCCUCAUUCACUCGGGGCCCCGACUCAUCUUCUUCUCACCAUUUAUCGUUAUCUGAGAUGACCUUGGGUGUGCAUUUGUGAACCUGCGAUGGCCGUAGUCCCCACUGGCAGUCAAGCUCCAACAAAGAACUGAGUCUCGCCACUGCGGUGCCUCCAGCACCUAGAACAGUCCCCGUCACACAACAAGAGCUCAACCAAUAUUUCCCAAAUAAAUUUUAACACUCUAUGCUGCUAGAAAGAUUUACAAUACCCAUGGACAAGAGAGCGUUCAUUAUGUUAUUCUCUAUUUUUGCAUGUGUUUGGAAUUUUUCUUAAGAGAAAAGUUUUCUAAAAAAACAUUCUGUAGAGGGGCGCCUGGGU